rnacentral:rRNA from 1 species
UACGUAGGGUGCGAGCGUUGUCCGGAAUUAUUGGGCGUAAAGGGCUCGUAGGCGGUUUGUCGCGUCGGGAGUGAAAACACCGGGCUUAACUCGGUGCUGGCUUUCGAUACGGGCAGACUAGAGGUAUUCAGGGGAGAACGGAAUUCCAGGUGUAGCGGUGAAAUGCGUAGAUAUCUGGAGGAACACCGGUGGCGAAGGCGGCAUCCUGGACCAACACUGACACUGAGGAGCGAAAGCCAGGGGAGCAAACGGG